CGUCCCUUCUCUUUUCCUCAAGUACUUCAACCCGUUCAGCAGAGCUAGGGCUUCGGCUUGCUUGGGGGGAAGACGCCCGCAACUCUUUAACAAAACCCUCGAUGACGAGCCCCGAUGGAUCGCGCAAAAUCGCAGCAACUGAACAUAAAUAUUCGGCCGGAGUCCACGAUGCAUCAACAUUCAGCUUCAUCUCAUCUUUUCCCGGCGGCUUCCAUCUAAUCGAUCUACAAUAUCAACCGAUUGUGGAGGCUUUGCUCGGAAGAUAAAGUUAUUUCGGGUCUUCCAUAUGUUCCACAGCACCGCGGCCACGAGUUCUCUUUCAGGAUGCAGCACAAGAAGAAGAGGGCUAUGGUCCGAACCAAUCGCUGGUAGCGCUUGAACUUCAGCAGCAGGAAAGAAUAGCACCUGAUUUUAGUGGAGCUGAUAAGUCCACUUCCACUCU